rnacentral:misc_RNA from 1 species
CGCACCUUGCACUCUUUGGUAUUCCGAAGAGUAUGCCUGUUUGAGUGUCGUGAAACCCUCAACCCCCCUGUUUUGUAAUGAAACAGGCGUGGGCUUGGAUUCUGGCUGCCUGCAGGCCCUGUCACAGGGUCAGCUCAGCUGAAAUAUACGAGCAGCUUGUAUUUCGAUACCAUAGAAAGCUUCAACUCGGCGUAAUAAAACUUAUCUCGUCGAAGUGAAUGCAGUCUUGUCGUUAGACAGCGCUAAUAAUUCGUUUCUCGUAAACACCUGAACUUUAGACCUCAAAUCAGGCAGGAUUACCCGCUGAACUUAA